rnacentral:rRNA from 1 species
CCUACGGGAGGCUGCAGUGGGGGAUAUUGCACAAUGGGGGGAACCCUGAUGCAGCGACGCCGCGUGGGUGAAGGAGGGCUUCGGCGCGUAAAGCCCUAUCGGCAGGGAAGAAGAUGACGGUACCUGGCCAAGAAGCCCCGGCUAACUACGUGCCAGCAGCCGCGGGAAUACGUAGGGGGCAAGCGUUAUCCGGAUUUACUGGGUGUAACGGGGGCGCAGACGGCAAUGCAAGCCAGGAGUGAAAGCCCCGGGCCCAACCCCGGGACUGCGCUUGGAACUGCAUGGCUGGAGUACAGGAGGGGCAGGCGGAAUUCCUAGUGUAGCGGUGAAAUGCGGAGAGAUUAGGAGGAACACCGGUGGCGAAGGCGGCCUGCUGGACUGUGACUGACGUUGAGGCCCGAAAGCGUGGGGAGCAAACAGGAUUAGAUACCCCUGUAGUC